AUUUAGAGGAAGGAGAAGUCGUAACAAGGUUUCCGUAGGUGAACCUGCGGAAGGAUCAUUGUCGAACCUGCGCAGCAGAACGACCCGAGAACCCGUUUCAACGUCGGGGGUCGGCGGGCCUUCGGGCUCGGCGUCCCCUUUGUCCCGGGAGCCCGCUCCCGGGCGUACAAACGAACACCGGCGCGUAUUGCGCCAAGGAACCUGAACGAAAGAGCGCGCUCCCGUCGCCCCGGAAACGGUGCGCGCGCGGGUGCGACGUCGUCUUCGAUACGUCAAAACGACUCUCGGCAACGGAUAUCUCGGCUCUCGCAUCGAUGAAGAACGUAGCGAAAUGCGAUACUUGGUGUGAAUUGCAGAAUCCCGUGAACCAUCGAGUCUUUGAACGCAAGUUGCGCCCGAAGCCAUCAGGCCGAGGGCACGCCUGCCUGGGCGUCACGCGCCGUUGCCCACCCCGCAACUCCCUAGGGAGCGUCGGGGGGCGGACGAUGGCCUCCCGUGCGUCACCCCGCGCGGUUGGCACAAAUGCCGGGUCCUCGGCGACGAACGCCACGACAAUCGGUGGUUGCGGAACCUCGGUUGCCCGUUGUGCGCCUUCGUCGCGCUCCGAGCGGCCCGCGACGCUCGUUGCUCCGCUUCGGCGGAGCUUUCAACGCGACCCCAGGUCAGGCGGGGUUACCCGCUGAAUUUA
rnacentral:rRNA from 1 species